UGCAUAUUUCAGUUACUAUUAUUGGAUACUCCUGAUCUUGCGCUUUCGUAUUCAGAUAAUUUUAUCAUCUUCAGACUUUCUCACACGAAUGCUUGUAUUCGUUUUUGAUUUUAUUUUCUGUCUACUGAAUUCUAAUCCAAAAUGUUGAUAUUUCUACAUUUCCUGACAUAUUGCUUGAUGGCAGCUAUGUUUUUCACUGUGAUAUAUUGUAUUUUCGUUGGUGUAUCCUAUAUCUUGGAAUUCAUUUUUGAAAUGGCUAAUAAAUGUAUCGAUUAUUGCAAGGAACCAAAGACGAGUUUUUAAAAGAAUAUGGAGUCUUCCUAUACCCACAGUUCUGCAAUAUCUAAUAAGUGUUUCAAAAUUGUACACAUUUAUGGAUUGUGUAUGCGACUCAAGAAAUUAAUUUCCGUCGAUAGAAAUGUUGAAAUCUUCGAAAAAUCAUAAAAAAUAUUAGUGUUCUUCGUGGACAGGUGAUAAAAUCAAGUGGGCAGUAUUUUACUUGACUCAUCCUAAUGGAGAUGUUUGAAUUCUUUUCCACUAGGAAUUCAGAAAAAUCUACUGAGAUUUGAGAUAUAUUUUCAUCGAAUUGUUCGAGAUUCGCUCAUGCGAUACUUUGCUGUCAAUUACCAUCACUAUUACUUAAACGAAACAAUAACAUUAUAAACUUGAUUCGAUAAAAACAGAAAGUUAUGGAUGACGUAGAAGAGCGAUCAUGUGAUAACUUACAUUGGAUAGAUAUGGAUAUUUAUUCUGAACAAAUUUGAAGAUUUUGAUCAAUAUGGUAUGUUCAAUCAAUAAACGCUUAUAAAUAAAGAAG